rnacentral:sRNA from 1 species
CCGUGGCCAUUUUGGCUCAGG